AGAGUUUGAUCCUGGCUCAGGAUGAACGCUAGCGGUGUACCUAAAACAUGCAAGUCGUACGCUUGUAAAAGCGUGGCAGACGGGUGAGUAACGCGUGGGAAUCUACCCCAAUCCGGGAAAUACCCAGCCGAAAGGCUGGCUAAUGUCCCAUGUGCUCGCAAGAGUAAAGCUCCGGCGGAUUGGGAGGAGCCUGCGUCCUAUCAGCUUGUUGGUGGGGUAAAGGCCUACCAAGGCUAUGACGGGUAGCUGGUCUGAGAGGAUGAUCAGCCACAACGGCACUGAGACACGGGCCGUACACCUACGGGUGGCAGCAGUUAGGAAUCGUACGCAAUGGACGAAAGUCUGACGUCGUGACACCGCGUGAAGGAUGAAGGUCUUCGGAUCGUAAACUUCUUUUAUCUAGGAGAAUUAUGAUAGUACUAGAUGAAUAAGCAUCGGCUAACUACGUGCCAGAAGCCUCGGUAAUACGUAGGAUGCGAGCGUUAUCCGGUUUCAUUGGGCGUAAAGAGCGCGUAGGCGGUUUGGUAAGUCUGAUCUUAAAUCCUCCGGCCUAACCGGAGAACUGGAUUGGAUACUGCCAAGCUUGAGUACUUGCAGGGGCAAGCGGAAUUUGCGGUGUAGGAGUAAAAUCCAUUGAUAUCGCAGAGAACACCAAUGGCGAAGGCAGCUUGCUAGGCAGUUACUGACGCUGAGGCGCGAAAGCGUGGGGAGCGAACGGGAUUAGAUACCCCGGUAGUCCACGCCGUAAACUAUGCGAACUAGGUAUUGGAAUCUUCGACCGUUUCAGUACCAAAGCUAACGCGUUAAGUUCGCCGCCUGGGGAGUACGAGCGCAAGCUUAAAACUCAAAGGAAUUGGCGGGGGCUUGCACAAGCGGUGGAACAUGAGGUUUAAUUCGACAGCAAGCGGAGCACCUCACCAAGGUUUGACAUCUACGGAAUCCUGAUGAAAGUCGGGAGUGCCCCCUCACCCUUUACGAAGUCAGUUUUUCUGAUCCUUCUUGGCACUGAUUAGCCAAAAGCUAGUCGGGUCAAGCGGGCGUAAGUUGGCAAAGGGUGAGGGGGAACCGUAAGACAGGUGCUGCACGGUCGUCGUCAGCUCGUGGCAUGAGCUGUUCCGUUAAGUCGGGAAACGAGCGCAACCCCUAUCGCCUGUUAAAUUUCUCAGGCGAGACUGCCUCGGUAACGGGGAGGAAGGUGGGGAUGACGUCAGAUCAGCGUGGCCUUUAUACCUUGGGCGACACUCGUGUUACAAUGGCUGCUACAAAGGGUCGCAAAAUCGCGAGAUGGAGCUAAUCCCUAAAAGCAGUCCCAGUUCGGAUUGGAGUCUGCAACCCGACUCCAUGAAGUUGGAAUCGCUAGUAACCGUGGAUCAGACACGCCACGGUGAAUACGUUCUCAAGCCUUGCACACACCGCCCGUCAAGGCAGGAAAGCCGGCAAUGCCCGAAGCUCCACGUAAGUGGGGUUACGGCAGGGUCGGUGAUCAGGCCUAAGUCGUAACAAGGUAUCGCUAGGGGAAUCUGGCGAUGGAUCACCUCCUUUCUAG
rnacentral:rRNA from 1 species